rnacentral:rRNA from 1 species
GGGGGACCUUCGGGCCUCUUGCCAUCGGAUGUGCCCAGAUGGGAUUAGCUAGUAGGUGGGGUAACGGCUCACCUAGGCGACGAUCCCUAGCUGGUCUGAGAGGAUGACCAGCCACACUGGAACUGAGACACGGUCCAGACUCCUACGGGAGGCAGCAGUGGGGAAUAUUGCACAAUGGGCGCAAGCCUGAUGCAGCCAUGCCGCGUGUAUGAAGAAGGCCUUCGGGUUGUAAAGUACUUUCAGCGGGGAGGAAGGGAGUAAAGUUAAUACCUUUGCUCAUUGACGUUACCCGCACAAGAAGCUCCGGCUACCUUAUGCCCAGCAGCCGCCGUAAUCAGGAGGGAGCAAGCGUUAAUCGGAAUUACUGCGCGUAAAGCGCACGCAGCGGGUA